GUGGGGAAUCUUGCGCAAUGGGCGAAAGCCUGACGCAGCCAUGCCGCGUGGAUGAUGAAGGUCUUAGGAUUGUAAAAUCCUUUCACCGGUGAAGAUAAUGACUGUAGCCGGAGAAGAAGCCCCGGCUAACUUCGUGCCAGCAGCCGCGGUAAUACGAAGGGGGCUAGCGUUGCUCGGAAUUACUGGGCGUAAAGGGAGCGUAGGCGGACAUUUAAGUCAGGGGUGAAAUCCCGAGGCUCAACUUCGGAACUGCCUUUGAUACUGGGUGUCUUGAGUGUGAGAGAAGUGAGUGGAACUCCGAGUGUAGAGGUGAAAUUCGUAGAUAUUCGGAAGAACACCAGUGGCGAAGGCGACUCACUGGCUCAUUACUGACGCUGAGGCUCGAAAGCGUGGAGAGCAAACAGGAUUAGAAACCCGAGUAGUCC
rnacentral:rRNA from 1 species